CCUUUAAGUGGAGAAAGACGCUCCUUGGUGUCUCCCCCUUCCCCCUACUUCCCAGUAAAAAGCCCUCUGGCGCCGACCUGCCCCGCUGGGAGCCCAGCUCGGCCACUUCCCCGGCAAGCCUCCUCGGUUUUCUCAUCUGAGAACUGGGGCUAAGUACACUGCCUCCCUCCGGCUGUGCCCCCUGCUUGGGGUUGGGGGGCUGUCCAGGCAGGAAGCCUGCUCCCCGUCCCGGGUUCCGGUCUUCCCUUCUCGGUUCGUUUUCCCCUCGGCACACCUCGCAUUUGCCGGUUCUUAUUUUAUUACUUUAUCGCCUGUCUCCCCAAACCGGGAUGUGUGCGCUGUAUCUCUGUAUCUAUGUCUGCUUUAUCCUGUGUCUAGAACAGCGCUCAGCACACAGUAGGCGCUCAAGAAGGGACAGAGCUGGAUCGGUGUUUGGCCGUAGACUUCAGUGCGUGAUAGCUGCUAUUUUCAUUAUUCAUGUGACUGUCACCCUCCCCAUCCUCCCUGGCUUGGGGACAUCUCUGCCCAUCCUGCCCCAUGGCUGGGGGUCCUGUGGACAGCAAGUGAGAGCAAAAUUUAAGGAGACAAAGACAGGAUCCGCAGCAGCAGGGGCGAGCCCGAGCCUCAUCGGGGCCGAUGCAAAAAGGAAGACGAGAAUACCGAUGCCGCCUGUGCACUCUGCUGUUUCGUUCAUCCUGGAGUUUUGGCAUUACUUUUCUUUUAAAAAUAUUUCAUAAACACACUGUGUCGAUCACGGAGCACUCCUGUGCCUGUGCUGGUACCUCACCCGGUCACGGGCCUGGUGGCCCCAGGGGACAGGGCCCUGCCCAGCAGCUUCUGAAGAUUUGCUGAUAUGGAGCCUUGAGGGUGAGACCCGGACUUUCUUCCCUGCCACUGUUCACCUGCCAGGAGGUGACUGGAAAUAGACUCUGCUGAGUUGAAGACAAAGACAUCAGGGUCCAGGCAAAGGGGCGAUGGAUAGGGGGCCGUGGAGGGGGGAGGAGAAAGACGUGGCUUUGGGGGUUGCCUCCGGGUGGCCAGCGAUCUUGGUCUCCACGAGGCAGAUUUCCUCUCAGCCAGCUCUGUCCCCUGCCCCGCCGGGAGUUCCAGUGGCCAUUAAGUACCCGAAUUGGAAGCCUCUGAAUCCAGAGGUGCUGGGAGUCAGCAUACAAGGUGGAGCAAAUAAAAAAUACAGGCACCCUGGGAACUUUGAAUUUCAGAUAAACAAGAAAUAAACUUUUAGCACAAGUAUGUCUCAUACAAUACUUGGGAUAUAUACUUUUACUCAAACCUUUUUCUGAAUUGUUUAUCUGAGAUGGAGAAUUAUCCAGGCAGCCCUGUAUUUUAUUUGGCAAAUCUAGUUGUAUAUGUAAAACACACUCCAGAUUUUGAAAAGGUAGUACGAAAAAAAGGAAGAUAAAAUACCUCACGAAUAAUUUUUAUAUGAAUUACAUGUCGAAAUGAAAAUAUUUUGGACAUCUCGGGCUAAGUAAGAUAUUAAAAUUAACUUCACCCAUUUCUGUUUACUUGCUUCACGUGGCUAUUGGAUAAUUUAAAGUCACACAUGCAGCUCUUAUCAGGCUUCUGUGGGACGCUGGCAAGCGUGGCCCAUGCUCAUGCAAACUGGGACAUUCCCAGGUGUAGUGUGGAAAGGCCCCAGGAAUCUGCUCCGUUCCAGGGAAACCGGGCAGUGGGUCACCGUGAAGCGCUGCAAGUGGCUGGGCAGCGUGACUUGGGAGAAGCACUCCUCUGAGCUUCAGUCUCCCCACCUGCACACGGGUACUGCCCACGUGGGGCUUGCAAGGAGGUGGCAGCUGAUCAGUGCAGCUGGGGGAAGGGGCCUGACACUUGGCGGCUCAAACAAGCAGCCUGUGAUGCUUGAUGUGGCAGCCCUCUGCCCCCGAGGGUUUCCCCAAGCCCUCUGCAGGUGCUUGGGACCUGGGGAACCAGGCAAGAGACAGCCUCAGCGUGACUGCCUGGAGGUCCAGUAUUGAAACAAUUCCCCCACAUCAAAACUACCGUUCCUCUGCCUACGAAAUCCCAGGACCCUUCAGAGGGGCUACUCCUGGCCGCUCUUCCCCCCUUCUCCCCUGCGGGGGCUCCCACAGCUCUGCCACUUGCUGGGCACCUCCAGGAGCCAGGCGCUGUGGGAUGUUCUUUACACGCAUCUGAGACUCAGAGAGGCAGAUCUUGAGCCUGAGGUCACACAGCAUAAGUGACAGAGCUGAGGCUUUAACCCAGUGCUGUGGCCACAGAGUCUGGGCACUUCCAGGACAAAGACAAAAACCAAAACCUCUUUCCUGUCUCAGGUGCAGAGGCUUUGACCUGGCACCACUCCUGUCACCACAGCCAACCCCUUACAAGGUGCCCACACCGUGGGUCCUUGCACGGGAUCCGGAGCCGGCCCUGUGAGGAAGGCCCAGGGCCAUUAUCCUCCCAUUCUGCGGGUGGACACUGAGGCUCUGAGACUGUAAGACGUAGCCCACGUUACAGUAAGUGGCUGACCGGGGACUGUGAGCAGGUUCUGCCUGCUGCCCUGGCACGGGGAGACCAGGCCCUUCCGGCGUGUGACAUGGGAACCAAUAUUUGCCCUGAUCCUCCGCUGUUUACAGAGCCUUGUCAUCCGCCUUAUCUCAUCCAUUCUCCUGACAACCAGAGAGGUGGGCAAAUAUUUUCAAUAACAAGUUUAGUUUACAGAUGAAGAAACCCAGAGGGACUUGCCCAAGGUCACUGUUGGCAGUAAAGCAGGAGGGGGGAUUCAGACUUCAGUCUGCCUGGUGGCAGAGCCCACAUGUCGCCCCAGGACAGCCAUGGCAGCUGCCAGGGCCGGGCCCAGAGGAGAGAGCAGUGCGCAGCCUGGGCAGUCGCCACGGACUCCCUGGGGGUUGGGGGGUGUCAAAGCUGGGAAGGCUGUGGAGAGAACCGGAGCUCAGGAGCCUGGGGAGUGGGGUAAGCCCCAGGAGGAGGGCCCGCACAGGGGUGGACCCCAGCCCUGUCCUGCACAAACCUCCACAUCACCUUACUCAUGUAUGGUGCCCUGGCCUCCCCAGCACGGCUCUGUGACGCUGACUGACUUCCAAACUCCAGGAAGGACUUUAUUCUGUCACUCUCCAUUGCCACACUCUGAGCCUGGAGUUCCAGUCCUAAGGGAAAACCCCCACACGAGAAAUGGGCCACGGUCACCACCCGGGCACUGGUAUUAGCAACCACUGCUGUCAGCGGCUUCCGCGCCCAGCGACCGAGGACAGCUGAGUGAGCCGCGGCGAACGCUCAGAGAGGAACAUCGGGCAGCCUUUGGAAAUGGCAGUUACAGGGCCCGGAGGGAAUGUGGGAGCUCCUUAUGAGCACCCCGCGGGAGAAGCUGGCCAUGAAGCUGUCGAUGCCAUGCCCGGUGUGUGGGCCUGUGGGCAGGAACUGGAGCAAAAAAUAUGUAAAUAACAAAGCUAGACUGAUUGUAGGGCCAAUAAAUUUUAGACAGAUGUUUCAAUUCUAACUUCCAUUACCUUUAUAUAAUAAACAGUAGUCAUCAUCGUAA